AAAUUUAACUGAUUUUGAUUCUGAAUUAGAACAAUCAGAUUUCAAUUUUUCAAAUCAGACCGGAACCAUGAUUAUCCUCCAGUCAAUUUCACUCGGGUAAUGCGGGAAAAAUAAGACAAAAAUCACAAAGUUAGGUUGUCAAAUUCAGGCUUAGGUAGAAGUUCCUUUGGACUUUUCGAAGUCCCAUUUCAGGUUUUGGGAGCCUUUUCAGGAUACAUGCUUGCCAGCCAAAAAAGAGGAUUAUGGUGCCACUUCUCUUUCAAGGUUGAAAGGAUACUGAAUUACUGAUAGCUAAGUCAAUUCUUCCUCUAUGUCACUAGAAGCAAUUCCAUCUGGCACAAAUUUAAAAUACCACAUAUCAUGAAGAUUAUAAGUAAGUCUUGCUAUACAUUUUGUGUCCUAAAUCCAUGACUGAUUGUAAGAAAAAUCUCCAUAUAUCAAAACCACAAUUUUCUAAUUUACAAACUGUCUCAAUUAAGCAGAAAACAGUAAUACCUCUUAUACACUAUUAUUGCAAUAAAGCACACCAAUAAACAUAGAAGCUUACAGAUUCUCCUGAUUAUUUCAGGGAAAAGAAGAAAACAAAAUAUAAGCGACGUCAAAAUUUGUCCAAGUACACUAUAUCCUAGCAGGAAGUAAACAAACUCACUCUGCUUCUGCUGCUGCUGCAUCCCCACCAUUAAUUUCUUGGCUUCUUGUAUCUGGCAAGGUUCCCAAAUCUGUCCGAGCCUCUUUUUCCUCUUGAGAAACUGAAGAAUUUGAAGAAUCAACUGAAUCGUUCUGGGAAGAAUUAUUUGAGUCAUUCUGGCUGGCAUGUGUGUUGCUAUCUGUGUUUGAGGCUGCAUCUUUCUCUUUUUGGGAUGUUAAAGAGUCAGUGGAAACAACUUGCUCUUGGCUUGCAUCUGUGUUGACAUUUGUAUUGCUGUUGUCAUUUGUGUUGCUUUCAACGGUAUUGUUGUUCUCAUUAUGAUCAGCAUCACCGCUGUUAGAAUCAACCUGUUCUUUCUGGCUUGUGACUGUAUUGUCAUUUGUGCUGCUGUGAACAGAAUUUUCACUCUGAUUCUGGCCAGAAUCACCGUUAUCUUUUGUGUUUGAGGACACAUCUUUCUCUUGGGAAUCUGAAGAAUCAACAUGUUCGUUUUGGUCAGCAUCCACAUUGUUAUUUGUAUUUGAUGAUGCGUCUUUCUCUAUGGAGUUUGAAGAAUCAACAUGUUCCUUCUGCCCUGCAUCUGCAUUUUCAUUUGUGUUUGACAAUAAAACAAUUUCUUGAUUUCCCUCUCUGGUAGUACCAUCGGACUUUUCACCCUGAACUGCAUUAUUAUUUUGGCUCGCUGAUGAAGGCUUAUUGGACUCAACAGUUAGCCCAUUAGAUGAAACAGACUCAGAAUUGCUAGAAUCUGUUGAUUCUUGAUUAGUUGAAUCUACAUUCUCAGUUGCAGUGGAAGGUGUCACAUUCAAAUCUGAUUGCUGGCCACUGGCAUCUGAGUCAGAUUUCUCUGUUUGUACGUGUAGGACAACAUCAUUCUUAGUUGAAUCCUCUCCCUUUGACUUUGUGUUAUCUGGAGUUUCAUUUGGAUUUUGAGGUGAAGAAUCAUGAUGUUCUGAAGUAACUGGACUGGAGUUAGAAUCCAUCAGCUGCUGAUCAUUUUUUUCUGUUGCUACUGCAGACGUAUCAUGGGAACCAUCCUCCGAUCCUUGCUUACUACUUUCAUUGCCACUCUGUUCAUUGGCUGGAUUUGUGGCAUUUUUAUUUUCCACUGGUUCGCCAUUUGGAACUUCAUUUUGAUUGACAUCAACAAUCUCGGAGAUAUUUGUUUUACUGUCAUAUCCAGACUCAUUCUUUUCUUUGUUCUUCACAUGCUCUGCCUCGUUAGUCUUCUCCAAACCACCUUGCUCUUCUACAGGUGUUAAAUUUUGAGUUUCAUGGACAACUGCACUGGAAGCAUCGUCUCCCUUGUAAUGUUCUUCUCUUGCCUCCUUACUAUGUUCGUAAUUUCCAUCAGGAACCUGAUCUUCUGCUGAACCUGAAUUUUCAAUCCUCUUCUCUUCCUUAUCUUCUGUCUCUUUAGUUUCUGCCCCUUUGCUUUCUUUAACAACCUCUUUAAUUGUCAUUCCUUGACUCUCCUCUACACUUUCCUUCCCUUCAUUUGCGUUUUCUUGCCUCUCUUGAUUUGACUUAUCUUGGCUUUCUGUCUCUUUGUUCUCUUCAUUCUCCUUAUUCUCAUCAGGAUUCUCCUUACCUUCAUUUCCCCUCUCUUUGCUUUCUCUAUUAUCAGUCUCUUUGCUCUCUACAUUCUGCGUAUCUUGGACAUCAUUCACUUUGUUCUCUUCACUCCCAUUAUCUUUGCUAACAUUGUCCUUGAUCUGUUCUUUCUCUGUCUGGUGAUUAUCAGUGCUAUCCUCCCUCUCUUCUGCACCAACAUUCUCCUUGUUUUCUUCACCCACCUUCUCUCCAUCGAUGGAACCGUCCCUCCGAUCAAAUCCCUCUUCAGUUUGAUCAUGAAAAUGACUCUGGAUCUCGUCGUCUCCACCCCCAGUUCCUAUGUAGUUGUCAGGUUUAGUUUCAUCUUCAUUCUUGCUUUCUUCUUCUUCUUUCUCCCUGUGUCUCUCAUCUCUAACGAUGGUUUCUUCAGCUUCAGGGAGGUCCUUUCUUCCUAGUUUUAUAAUGCCAUUCCCAGUUUUGACACUGUCGUCAAAUGCUGCAGCUUUCUUGUCAUGAGAUUGCCUGACUUGGUAAAGCAGCCAGAUUCCAACACCUAGGAGAAGACAUAUUUGUACAGCAUGCUUUACCUUAAAACCUUUUGAUCUCUGGCUCCUAUGUGGUGAUGACCGAAACAUGAUUUAGCCCCCCUACGAAUGCUUCUCUCCUCCAACAACCAAGAAAAAACAGAGCCACUAGGUUAUGCAAUAAUGACACAAAGCAGAGCCCAUUAUUUGGAGAAUAAUGUAGCUUAAAGUAAACAAAGAUUUAGAGACUGGAACUGUGCAUAUUGGACUAGAAAUACCUCAAAAUUGAUCUUUUUGGUGAAAAGCCUUUCUACUCAGAUUGGAUCUGGUAAGAAAAGAAAGAGAGGAAACAAAGUACUUGAAAGCCACAAAUGGCUUCUCUUUAUAUAACCAC
rnacentral:misc_RNA from 1 species